rfam:Ornithorhynchus anatinus chromosome 4, whole genome shotgun sequence.
CCCCUCUCAGGAUCACACCUGGAGAAUUUCUAGUACUCUACCAGUCUUGGCUAUGGGAGACAGAGUCAAGCAGAGGUCUACCCAUUCCAUUCCUAGCUCAGGCAGUGGCUAGCGAAUGGAAAGCAAUCUGUAACAAGU